rnacentral:lncRNA from 1 species
UCCAGGCAAGAGCUGAGGGAUGUUUCUUGAUCACAUGGAACUUCUCUUUGCAGAUCCGACCUUCAUGUCAGCCUGUACCCGGCACAGAUAAUCUCUCCCAAGAGAAAUGCUAAACUGAAAAAGAUUGGCCUCAGUGUCCUGUGGGAGUCUCAUAAAGAGGGAACUAAGAGAGCUCUGUCUCUGGAAACACACAGGGAUCUGUGAGAGAAAUGGACUGGUGACAGUGAUGCUACAUCACCUCUUCUGAACGCAGGGGCUCAGUUCCAGGUUUGGCAGCUCUAGGAUGAACCAGUGGAGUUUCCUUGACUUCAGUGGGGAUCGAUUCUGUUUGGAGCCUGUAGCAACUGAUGACCAGGGGAGCCCAAGAUCCACCCAUCACAUGGCAACAGGAAGCUUUGCAUGAUGCCUGGCAGCGCAUCCCUCCAAAAGGAAGUGGGAAGAUUAAAG